rnacentral:lncRNA from 1 species
GCUCUUAGAAGGGCUUAAUUUCGUUUUAUUAGGGGCUGAAGAGCGUAGGAAAAAGACUCAAAUACCCUUAAGGACACGUCCUUUUAAUGACUGAAACCCGUCCUACCGAUGCUCAGACCGACGUACCGCAUCGAUGGGAUCGACGCGAUGGAAUACACGUCGUGUCGAGUCCGCAUCGAUUUACUAAAAUUUGCCACUGGGACCCAACAAAAUAUUGAUCGAUGCGAUGGACGAUGUGGCGUGUCGAUACACUAUUUUAGGUUCCCAAACGUGGCUCAAACGAGAUUCAAAAAAUUUGAAACUCAUCCGAGAAUACCUACUGGUGUUCCUGAUCAUGAAUCAGCCUAAAGAUCAUUACUUUAAGGUCAUAAGGGUCGUGAAAAGGAGUCGCCAACUUACGAAGGCAAAAAUAACACUAAGUCUGGAUAGUUAGCUAGAAUUUUCUAAGUAUGGGACCCCUCAACAAGCUUUAAAAAGGCUGAAUUUAGCUUAGAAUUUUACGGAGUCUUACAUAUAAUUUCUUAGAGGAAAUUAGAAAGAUGUUUGGCAGAUGAUAUCAUAGCAAUCAGUAGGUUGGGACAUCCACACGCAUAUCUAUAUGCGAGAAAUAUAAUGAACUCCUUGAGUUUAACGAUGCCAAAAGUACGUGAAUGAGGGCAAGUAUUUUAUUAAAAGUACAUGAUGCAUUUGUUAUUUUUUGAAUACGUAAAUAUAUAUAACUAUAUAUUCAUUGCAGGUUGUGCCGGCUAUCAUACCUGAUUUUUACCUAAGGGCAAAACGAGCACGACAUUAUGGACUCUAAAAUAAUUAAUUUUGUACAGAGUCGCCACCUAAUUUUAAGAAAAAAUAGAAAGCCUAUAUAUUUAUUAACAAGUAUAACAUUAUUUAAUCUGCGAACCAAUUUAAAUUCUAGGUAAGGGUUCAAAUUAUUCUGAAGGAAAAGGAUUAGACACCCUUCAGAAUACACAAAUGUGGUUCCCAAUCAGACUUAAAUUUUUUACAAAACGAAAGAAAAAAUCAAGGUUUAUAAAUACAAAUCUAAAAUAUAAAUUAAAAAAAUAUAAAUAAUUUGCAUAUAAAAAUGUAUAAAUUAUAUAAAUUAUUGUAUAUAAAAAAUGAGUGAAUAUGAUCGAAAGUAUAUAAGAAUGUGUGCAAAAAAAGAAAAAUUUAUUUUAAAGAAAAAGAUUACACGAUAUUUUUUAAUGCAUAAGUAUGAAUUAAUUGAUUAACUAUCUAAAUUAAUUUAAUUUUUUCUAUAAAUAUUAACGGUCUAGAUUUUCUUAAACGCGCGGUAAAGAUUGCAUAAGUUAAAAAAUAUCCCACUCAACACCCAAAAAUAAAGAUUUCACUAUAAUUAAUAUUUUUACAAUGAGAAGAAUAAUAAAAAAAUACAAAUACAAAAAAUUCAAGCUUUCUUUGAAUGUCAUUUCCGACGAGUAUUCCCGAGAACCUAUACAAACACUUGUAAUAAAAAUAUUAGUAACGAAAUAAUUACAAAAAAGCAUGUGCACAUGUAUGUAUUUAAAAAAUAUAAAUAUUAUUAAAAAGCAGGCUCAGAUAAAGUUUUUUAAAAAAUAUAAAAAUUUCAUUAUUGCCCGAAUUUAUUCAUUUUAUUAUGUAUUUGUAUACGUAAUAUUCAUCUUUUAUUUGCAGAGGCCUCGAAAUUGAUGGAGAUUUUCUUCAUAGGCCAAGUGUCAACCUUUGAUAUAAAAUAAUAAUUUUGAUAAAAUAAAAUCCGUCUUUUGUAAUGGGAUGACCUCAAAUAUCCAAAUGGAGAAAUAAUUUUACUGGCCAACCGUCGGCCCUUAAGAUAAAAUAAUAAUUUUGAUAAAAUAAAGUCGUCUUUUGUGAUAGGGUGGCCUCAAACAUCCAGACGGAGAGAUAAUUUCAUUGACCAAAUAAAAAAGUUAAAUUUAAAAUAAAAUUUAUCUUUAUAAUAGGUAGACCUCGAAAAUUCAACCGAGAUAUUUUAUCAUUAUCAAUUAAACUAUUCAAUAUCCAACUAAAAUAAAAACUAAUAACAGAUCAACAAAACACAACUCAAGAAUUACAAAACAGAAUGAUAAUGUAAACAUUAUAACAAUUACGUAGGAAAAUGACAGUACAAAAAACUAAAAAUAAAAAUUAAAUCAAAUAUGUUUAAAAAUAAUGAAAGAAGUUGCAACAACACUAAGAGAAAAUAACAUUCUAAUAUUAACAUUAAACUUCGAACAAAGAAUCUCAAAGUAAAAGGUAUUAACAUUGUCAUAGACAUAAUUGAUCAAUUCAAGAACAAUUUGAAUAUAUGUAGACCCACAUGUAACAAUACGAAAAAUAAAAGUUGUGGAGGUCAAAUCUCGACGGGAUCUGAAUUUUACCGGAGUUAUGACUUGAGAUUACCGAAUUUUGUACUUCUCAGAUGUCGUUGUUGUUUGCCGUGGAGGUUGUUUGGGGAUGGAUAAACGGAAAGAAAGGAGGGAUGGGGGCGGCAGUGGGCUGCCGGACUUGAAACAGUGUACGGCGGCAUUUCGGUUGCUGGUUCUUCGGAAUCACUGGUUCGUUGUUGUCUGGAGCUCGCCGGUCAUCAACUCCAGCGAUCCAAUGGUGGAGCAGCGGGUAGAGGAGAAAGGACGAGCGGUGGUGGCGUUUUGGUGGUUUUUCGACGGUAAUGAAGGGAUGUAGGGAAGAAAGACAGAGAGGAGGAAGGGGGUGUGGUGGUGGUGCUAUCGGGAAAAAUCCACCAGAGCUCCAGUGGUGGUGGGGCGGCAGUGAAGGGAAAAGGGAGAGAGAAAAGACGAGAGAAAGUGAUGAGAGUGAGUGGGGAUUUGGUUUGUAUGUCGGUGUGUUAGUGUAUAAUACAUUAGUAUGUGUUUGUGUGGUGAAUGAGUAUUAAAAAGGAAAAUUAAUAAUAUAAAAAAAUAUAUUAAAUUUAUUUUUAUUCAAUAUAUUCCUUAAAUUUGGGAUAGUAGGUAAAAAUAAAGUUAAAAAAAUUAAAAGUGAUAAGACUUUUGACUUGACUAAUUUGUUAUUCUGUAUAUUAAAAUAAUUAAAUCGACUCAUAUUUGUAGAUCGUAUUAAAUAAUGUACAAGAUAAUGAAUGUUGAUGUAUAAUUUUAGAAAAAUAUAAAUAAUAAAUAAAUAAAAAUAUAAUUAUUUUUAAAAAAUAUAUUGCACUAUAAAUAAUUAAAAUUAUACUGUGCAGUAAAAAAUUAUAGUGUUGUGUUGUGUACGUAUGCAAAUAACUGUGCAAAAAUAUUAAAAUAAUAAUAAAUUGAUAAAAAAUUUAAAAUUUAUGAAAUUAAAGAUAAUUAUUAAUAAAUUAUGUAAAAUUAAAAUAGCACAGUAAAUGAGUAAAUAAUUCUAAAAUAGUGAUGAUUAUCAAUAAUUUAUUAACAAUUGUAAAAAAUAUGUGAAAAAUUACAUGUUGUGUCAUUUAACGAUCAGGAGGCCUAAAAUGCCUUAGUUUUAAGUUUGGGGAGCUAAAAUUGGGUGUCAACAGUUCGUUUGAAGAUAAUAUAGAAGUCUUCAAACGAAAAAGUUGAUAUAUAGCCAAUUUUGUUCAACAAAAAAAUAUUUUUGAUAAAAAAUUUGGGCGAACUCCAAUUUAGAGUCACCCACAUAUUUCGAGUUUGCAUGAGGAUCAGGUCGGGUAUAGUUGAAAAGUUAUCCCAACAUGUCUUAUUUUGGGUUGGACAAACCCAAAGCAUCCUCGAAUUUUAUGCCUGCAAAAUUUAUAAAACUAAAAAGCAGAAGACAAAUGAGUAACUAAGCUAAAUUUUUUAUUUUUUUUUUAAGAAAUUCAAAAAAAAAAUGGCAUGUAGUGCUUGAACUAAUGUAAAGAUAAAUAAAUAAAGACAUUGUACAAUUUUAAUUGAAGAUAAGCAUAAUAUUCAAUUGAAGAUAAAUACGCAUAAAGGUCUUAUUAAAGAGCAGACUAACCCAAAAUGUCUUAUUUUAGGGCGGACGAACCCAAUUUAUCCUCAAAUUAUAUGAUUGCAAAUGCGUCAAUCUAAUAAGUACUGCUCAAUAAAACACAAACGAAAAAUUAAACAUGAUUUUUUUCUUUAUGUUUUUUUUUCUUUUUUUCGAGAAAUUAAGAUAGUAUGCUGUGCUUAACUAAAUAAGAAAAAAAAAUAGUAUAAACAAAAAUAACAUCCAGUACUUAAAUAAUAAAAUAAGUGUAUUGUGAUAUGUGCAAGUAAAAACAAAGCAUACAAUGCUUAAAUAACAAAGUAAGUGCAUUCGGUGUGCAAAUAAAGGCAAAGAUGGAAUGCGGUGCUUAAAUGAUAAAACAAAUACAUUGCAAUAUUUGGGAGGCGUGCAGCACCUAAAUGCUAAAAUAAAUGCAUUGCAAUAUAUGCGUGCAGUGCUUAAAUAAUAAAAUAAAUGCAUUGCGAUAUGUGUCAAUAAAGGCAAAAUGACAUGCAGUGCUUAAAUGAUGAAAUAAAUGCAUUACGAUAUUUGCGAAGCAUGCAGUGCUUAAAUAAAAAAAUGCAUUGAUAUAUGUGCGUGCAGUACUUAAAUGACAAAAUAAAUGCAUUGCAAUAGUUGUGAGACAGCGGUGCCUAAAUUAUAAAAUAAAUGUAUUAUGUUAUGUGCAUGCAGUGCUUAAAUGCAUAGCAAUAUGCGCCGAUAAAGGAAAAAAUGACAUGCGAUGCUGAAAUGAUAAAAUUAAUGCAUUGCAAUAAGUGCGGGCAAGAAUGACAUGUGAUGCUUAAAUGAUAAAAGGGAAAAGGCUCAAAUAUGUCACUGAACUAUCAAAAUGACUCAUUUAUGUCAUCCGUUAAAAGUUAGGCUCAUUCAUGUCAUCGCUGUUACAAAACUGACACAUUCAUGCUAUUACUUUUAACAGUCAGUUUUUAGAAAACAGUUUUGCCACGUGGCAGCAUAUUAGAGGUCUACGUCAUUUUUUAAAAUUUUUUAUAUUUUUUUAUUAAUUUGAAAAAAAUUAUAAAAAAAUUAUUAUAAAUAUUUUUUUUAUAAAUAUUUUUUUUUAAAAAUCCCCCAACUUCCCAACCUUAUACAUUAUAUAUUUAUAAAGAAAACCUUACCCUAAAGAAAACUACCCCAAUCAUCCCCACCUUUUCCUCAACCCCUUCAACUCCCUCAACUUCCCAACCUUAUACAUUAUAUAGUACACCCACACAGACAUAAAGGAGGACAUAGAAAAACACAAAGAUAAAGGGAACGAAUAGGGAGGAUUAGGGAAAUAAAAAUGACAAAAACAGGAAGAAAGGGAGAGGAACCUUGAAAAAAAAAAUACGAAUUGGGAGAGAAAAAUAAGAAAAGAGAAGAGUUAAGAAGAAAAGGAGUAACAUUUGACAGAAACAAAAAGGAAAUAACAUAAACGGGUAGACAACGAGUUGGAGUUUGAGGUUUGGUUCGUGAUUUCGAGUUCACAGCUUUUUCUUUCUUUUGUUGGCAACUAUUUUUCCAAAAGGUAACCCUUUACCUUUCUUUGAAUAAUAUAAUAUCGUGAUUAUGCGAAAUUCAAUUUCAAUAUUAUGAAGUGGAGUUGCACUUAUUUUACAUUUGUUGUUGUAAUACUAGAGUAUUCAAAUCUUUGUGAUGAUUAAAUUUGAAGUGAGAUUUGAUAUAAUAUAUGAUCCAUGCAUGCAUACACAUCAAUGAUUAUAAAAAAAAGAAUAAAUGAUAACAUACACAUCCACACACAAUACAUUACUACAUACAUUUUGCAUGCAUACAUACGAAGAGGGAGAGAAAAAUAAGGAAAAGAGAAUGCACCAACAGAAAAAAUUGUUCACAUUUUUGCAUUCUUUUUCUUUCUCUAUCAUGUACUUUUCGAAGUGUUAAAAAGGAUUAGCCAUUUAAGGUGUUUGAAUUGAUCAUUUUAAUAUGGUCACCUUUUUCAUUUGGCAAAAUAUGACAAGAAUACGGUUCCGUCCUUUAUUAUCAUUGCAUAUAAGGACUAGCAAUGGUUAUGAUGAACUAGAAUUUCAGGUUUGAAUAUUUUGGAUUCAUGUAUAAAUAAAUACCUAGAAGAUUGGUCAAAUAUAUAUAUGUAUAAUUAUUUUUAAAAUAAGAAUUCAGAAAAAACAUUAACAUUAGUUAUAUGAAAAAUUUAUUAUUCGUUAUUUGAUAAAUAAAAGCAUAGAAAUAUGUAAUCUAUAAACUUCGUAACCAACACCAUUUUUUUAAAAAAAUUAAAUAAAAAAUUAUUAAAAAAAAUUAUAAAUAUUUAAAAAUAAAAAUAAAAAUGACGUGGACCUCUAAUAUACUGCCACGUGGCAAAGCUGUUUUCUAAAAAUCGGCUGUUAAAAGUAAUGGCAUGGAUGGGCCGGUUUUGUUACGGCGAUGGCAUGAAUGAGCCAACUUUUAACGGAUGACAUAAAUGAGUCAUUUCUGAUAGUCUAGUAGCAUAUUUGAGCAUUGCGAUAUUUGUGAGGCAUGCAGUGCUUAAAUAACAAAAUGCAUUGUGAUAUGAGCUAGUAAAGGCAAAAAUGACAUGCAGUGCUUAAGUAAUAAAAUAAAUACAUUGUGAUACGUGCAGAUAAAGGCAAAGAUAACAUGUGGUGCUUAAAUGAUGAGAUAAAUGCAUUGCGUGCAAGUAAAGACAAAGAUAGACUGUAGUACUUAAACUAUAAAAUGAAUGCAGUGCAUGCAAGUAGAGGCAAAGAUAAAAUGCGAUCGAUAAAAUAAAUGCAGCGCUUAAAUAAUAAAAUAAAUGCAUUGCGAGAUGUGCAAAUAAAGGCAAGAAAAAUAUACAAUGCUUAACUAACAAAUAAUAAAAUAAAUGCAUUGUGAUGCGUGUAAGUAAAGACAAAGAUAACAUCCAGUGCAAAAAGAAAUAAAUAAAGUGCAAUAUGUGCAAGUAAAGGCAAGCAAGCAUAAAUAUUUAAUUGAAGAAAAACAUGCAUAAUUGUCUUAUUAGAGGGCAGACUGGCCCAAUUGUCCUAUUUUAGGGUGGACAAAUCCAUGUAAAAAAAAAUAUUGAGCAAAGAAAUAUUUGGGAAUGAAAGUAUUCACAUAUUCCUGAUGCAACUUUCAAAAUUGCCCUAGUAUCGAGCUGUGAGAUGCUUGAGAAUGCAAGAUUGUGUAUUUGCUGGGGAGAAAGAAUGAUUAUGGGAUUGUACUGACCAAACUCUACAUAGAGCUUCCUACAUAUCUUGAGUGUUACGAGAAUCAGGUCAAUAUAGUUUAAAAUAAGAAAAACAGAGUAAAUUUUGAGGCGACUCUCAAAAUUUGCCCCAGUGUAUGAUUUAUACUAACACUGACUUCUUCUAAGAAAAUCAAAUGAGGGUUGCCUACGUAUCUUAUAAAAAAACAAGAAUUAGGUCUGCAUAGUUUAGGCAAAUUUGUGAAUUUAUAUGUAACAUUUAUGAUUGUAAAUAAAAAAUGAUAGUCAUCCUUGAAAAUAAUAUGAAAGACAGAUAGAAAAUAACUGCUUUUAGCAUCAAAAUUGUUUCGAUCAGAUGAUCUAAAGAAUGUAAAAAACCUCAAUAUGUUGACAAGUUGAAUAAGUUAGACAUCGAAGGAGUUAUGGCAUUAUUUUGUCACAGUUGACAGGAUUAAUAUAACUGAAAAAAUAUUGAACUCUUUCUUUUGAAAGUGAGGAUCGAUACACUAUAAAUUUAAUGGUCUACGACGUUCGAAAGAAGAAGAUAGGUGCAGGUGAGGAUCUGAAGGUAGGCCGAUUAGGUACUAAUGUAAUUAAGAUUUGAAUUUGAGGAGCUAUCAAAUUGCGCUCUUGAAAAAACGUCUUUGAACUGUUUCAGAAAAUUGUCCCAGUUUAAAAAUCGAAGAAAUUAUUCUAAAAUAGUGAAGAGACCGAACCCUAAUAUAGGGCUGCCUACGUAUCUUGUCAGGAUAAGAAUCAGGUCAAAACGUAGUUCAAAUCUAUACGCAACUACUUGCGAUGUUGUCAAGGCGCAUUUUUUAACUGAUCACUAAGCAAAACAAAGGUUAGACUACACCUUCUCACUAAAGCAUAAUCAAUUUAGAGCAAACAAAUAUGUACAAACGCAAUAAUCCUUCAAAUAUGUACAAAGACUAUGAUAGUGCGUCACUUGGGUCGUGAACCCUUCGGACAUAAAGUUAACUAAUGAUACAUGCACCUAAAAGGUGUUGUUUUAGUUAUAUUCUAUAUUGACUAAGAUUGGGUAGACACAGACUUGAAUUUUCUAUAUGAGAAGGCACGUAGUUCCACAACAGUAAAACUCCCGCUCACCACGCAUGCGUUAACUCUCUAAAAUAAGGUGAUUUGAAAGAAUUUUGGAAAAGUAUAAUGUACAAUCCUCAUGUACAAUGUGUGCGAGUGUCAACUUUCCAAAAUAGAGGAAAUAUGACCAAAAUGUCAAUUUAUAUAAAACAAUAAAUAAAUAAUCUAUACAAAAUAAUAACAAAUAAAUAAUUUAUGUUAUACAACCAAGAUAAAUCAAAACAAUUCAAAAAAAUAAAUAAUAGUGUAUAAAAUAUAUGAAUAUUUACCUAAGCCUGUAAUGAUUAGAACCUUGCAUUCUCAGCAGAGUUGUCAAACUGUCAUAUCCAAUUUUACCUAAGAUCAAAACGAACACGACAUUAUGAAUUCUAAAAUAAUUAAUUUUGUACAGAGUCGCCACCUAAUUUUAAGAAAAAAUAAAAAACCAAUUUAUUUAUUAACAAGUAUAACUUUAUUUAAUCUGCAAAACAAUUAAAAUUCUACGUAAGGGUUUAAAUUAUUUCGAAGGAAAAGGAUUAGACACCUUUCAGAAUCCACAAAUGUGAUUUCCAACCAGACUUAGGCUUUUUACAAGACAAAAGAAAAAAUCAAGGUUUAUAAAUACAAAUCUAAAAUAUACAUUAAAAUAAUAUAAAAAGUUGCUAAAUUACCUAAAUUAUUGUAUAUCAAAAAUAUGUGAAGAUGAUCGAAAGUAUAUAAGAAUGUGUAUAGAAAGAAAAGAAAAAUAUAUUUUAAAGAAAAAGAUUACGCAAUAUCUUUUAAUGCAUAAGUAUAAAUUAAUUAAUAAAAUAUCUAAAUUAAUUAAAAAAAAUUCUAUAAAUAUUAACGGCCUAAUUUGCCUAAACGCGCGGUAAAGAUUGCAUAAGUUCAAAAAAUAUCCCGCUCAAUAUUCCAAAAAUAAAGAUUUCACUAUAAUUAAUAUUUGUACAACGAUAAGAAUAAUAAAAAAAAUACAAGUACAAAAGAUUCAAGCUUUCUUUGAAUAUCAUUUCCGACGAGUAUUCCCAAGAACCUGUACAAACACUUGUAAUAAAAAUGUUAGUAACGAAAUAAUUACAAAAAAGCAUGUGCACAUAUAUGUAUUUAAAAAAUAUAUUUUUUUAUUAAAAAGCGAGUUCAGAUAAAGUUUUUAAAAAAUAUAUAAAAAUUUUAUCAUUGCCCAAAUUUAUUUAUUUUAUUACGUAUUUGUAUACAUAAUAUCCAUCUUUUUAUUUGUGGAGGUCUCAAAAAUCGACGCAGAUCUUCUUAAUAGGCCAAGUGUCAACCCUUGAUAUAAAAUAACUUUGAUAAAAUAAAAUCCGUUUUUUGUAACGAGGUGACCUUAAAUAUUCAGACGGACAGAUAAUUUCAUUAGCCAAGCUUCGACCCUUAAGAUAAAAUAAUAAUUUUGAUAAAAUAAAGUCCAUCUUUUGUGACGGGGUGGCCUCAAAGAUCCCGACAGAAAGAUAAUUUUAUUGGCCAAGUAAAAGUUAAAUUUAAAAUAAAAUUCAUCUUUAUAAUAGGUAGACCUCAAAAAUUCAACCGAAAUAUUUUAUCAUUAUCAAUUAAACUAUUCAAUAUCCAACUAAAAUAAAAAAUAAUAACAGAUCAACAAAACACAACUCAAGAAUAACAAAACAGAAUGAUAAUGUAAAAAUUAUAACAAAUACGUAGGAAAAUGAGAGCACAAAAACUAAAAAUAAAAAUUAAACCAAAUUAUCUUUAAAAAUCAUGAAAGAAGUUGCAACAAAACUAAGAGAAAAUAACAUUCUAAUAUUAACAUUAAACUUCAAACAAAGAAUCUCAAAUUAGAAGGCAUUAACAUUGUCAUAGACAUAAUUGAUCAAUUCAAGAACAAUUUGAAUAUAUGUAGACCCACAUGUAAUAAUACGAAAAAUAAAAUUUGUGGAGGUCAAAUCUCGAUGGGAUCUGAAUGUUACCGAAGUUAUGACUUGAUAUUACCGAAUUUUGUGCUUCUCUGGUGCUGAUGUUGUUUGCCAUGAAGGUUGUUUGGGGAUGAAGAAAGGGAGAGAAAGGAGGGAUGGGGGCGGGGAAGAACAAAGGGGGAAAAAGAAGGUAUGGGGCGUGGAUGAAGAAAGGGAGAGAAAAGAGGGAUGGGGGCGACAGCGGGCUGCCGGACUUGAAACAGCUUACGGCGACGUUCCGAUUUCUGGUUCGUAGGAAUUACAGGUUCGUUGUUGUCUGGAGCUCGUCGGUUAUCAACUCCGGCGAUCCAAUGGUGGAGCGGCGGGUGGAGGAGAAAGGACGAGGGGCGGUGGUGUUUUGGGGGUUUUUCGACGGUAAUGAAGGGCUAUAGGAAAGAAAGAGAGAGAGGAGGAAGGGGUACGGUGGCGGUGCCAUUGGGCAAAAUCCAUCGGAGCUCCAGUGGUGGUGGGGCGGAAGUGAAGGGAAAAGGGAGAGAAAGUGAUGAGAGAGAGUGAGGAUUUGGUUUGUGUGUCGGUGUAUUAGUGUAUACGUUAGUGUGUAUAUGUGUGGU